UACGAAGGGUGCAAGCGUUACUCGGAAUUACUGGGCGUAAAGCGUGCGUAGGUGGUUCGUUAAGUCUGAUGUGAAAGCCCUGGGCUCAACCUGGGAAUGGCAUUGGAUACUGGCGACCUAGAGUGCGGUAGAGGGGUGUGGAAUUCCCGGUGUAGCAGUGAAAUGCGUAGAGAUCGGGAGGAACAUCAGUUGCGAAGGCGGCUCUCUGGACCAGCACUGACACUGAGGCACGAAAGCGUGGGGAGCAAGACGG
rnacentral:rRNA from 1 species